rnacentral:rRNA from 2 species
AAAUUGAAGAGUUUGAUCAUGGCUCAGAUUGAACGCUGGCGGCAGGCCUAACACAUGCAAGUCGAACGGUAACAGGAAGCAGCUUGCUGCUUCGCUGACGAGUGGCGGACGGGUGAGUAAUGUCUGGGAAACUGCCUGAUGGAGGGGGAUAACUACUGGAAACGGUGGCUAAUACCGCAUAACGUCGCAAGACCAAAGAGGGGGACCUUCGGGCCUCUUGCCAUCAGAUGUGCCCAGAUGGGAUUAGCUAGUUGGUGAGGUAACGGCUCACCAAGGC